UUUUGCCAUUCGAACCCAGUGAAUCGUCGGUGAUGGUAUGCAGGAAGUCAGAUAACCCAUCUAGGGUUCGUCUUCACCCCUGUUGGUGCUAGAUCUGUCCGGAUCUGGUACAUGCAACACCAAUGAAGUGGUUACCGCCGGAAACCCUAGGCCACCGGAACUUCAUCGACUGUUAGAGUAACAUACGACCAUUGUUCCCCGCUCAUUGCCACUGCCAGAGCCAUGGCAGGGGCUUAAUCUUCGUCGGCCAGCCUCCAUUGUAGGAGAUUUUAACUUGGAAGUCAGAACAGCGACGCACCAGCAGACUAUAGUCACUGCAUAAACUGCCGGGUUUGGGCUGCCUUGGUGGCGGCGCUAUUUCAACGUAAAACCCUAGCUGCCGCCUACUCGACGAUGAUGGUGGCUUGUUGCACGUUAUGGCAACUCAACACUAUGCUACUGAAUUAUCAAUUUUAAAGUUCCGACGAAGCUACAAGGGUUCCGAUGGUCAUGGUUAUCGGUCGCGACGAUGGCAUUCCGGUGAAAAAGGUUAGACCCAGUUGCUUAAUCUGUUUAACCGAUUACAUUUAACCUUUUUAGGUCAGAAUUGAGGCUGGUGGUUGGGCUUCAAGUAUGAUGGUGAUUUCAAUGGUUAGGAGGUGAUUGCCAUGGUGUUUUAUGAUUACUGAAGAUUGUUUUGAGGCUUUAUAAGUUUAAGGAGUGUCAUCAACCUUCCUAGCUUCCAUUGGAACUAUAAACAUAACAUAAACACCCAUCCUUCUGGAUUCAAGUAUAACAAAGGAGAUGACUUUCAAAUUGAUGGUAAAAGAUAUACCAUUUUGCUUUUACAACUGCCUUCAAUUUUACGAUAUUUUUUAUUUGUAAUACACACCUUUGUAAUAAAAUUAUUU
rnacentral:lncRNA from 1 species